AAACGUUGCACGUGUGGUGACGGUGGAACUAGAUCCUUCUUUGUUGCCAUUAAAGCCGGUAAGAUUCACACACCGGUUACGCUUACUACGCAACGGAACCUGGCGACUGUAAUGUGCUCUCUCUACCUCUACGUGUCAUUAUCAAAUGUUCAUGACAGUCGUUUCAUCACCUUCUAAGUUGAUUAACUUACUCGGACCGUGAAGUCCAUAACGUUGAGCCGUUGACCAUUAACCCU